UGAAGGAGCAAAUCUUCAGUGACAGGAUUCGGAAGGCAGUACGGAAAAUUCCAAACGCGAGGUGAGCCCCGGCAUGGUGGCUCCUGGUAGUUCUACUUCUCAAUGUUCGUGGGCAACUACGCUCUCGAACCAGCCAACAAGUCCAAGCUGCAGAAUCCUUUCUUCUCAGUAGUCAAUCGGUCACAUAAUCUAUUGAAGCAAAAUGUGAAUGUCCGAGGUGGUUUUUUUAAGGGAUGCAUCAAUGGAAGCAUGCAAACCGCAACUCUUAAGCAUUUGGACGGAUCAUGGCCAGUGAAGCUCCUGUACUACCCACAACAUGGCUCGGGAAAGCUCUCUACCGGUUGGGGCGCGUUUCAGAAAGGAACUUCUCCAAAAGGAAGGAGAU